rnacentral:rRNA from 1 species
UGGGGAAUAUUGCACAAUGGGGGAAACCCUGAUGCAGCGACGCCGCGUGAACGAAGAAGGUAUUCGUAUCGUAAAGUUCUGUCCUAUGGGAAGAUAAUGACAGUACCAUAGAAGAAAGCUCCGGCUAAAUACGUGCCAGCAGCCGCGGUAAUACGUAUGGAGCGAGCGUUGUCCGGAAUUAUUGGGCGUAAAGGGUACGCAGGCGGUUUAAUUAGUCGAAUGUUAAAGAUCGGGGCUCAACCCCGUAAAGCAUUGGAAACUGAUAAACUUGAGUAGUGGAGAGGAAAGUGGAAUUCCUAGUGUAGUGGUGAAAUACGUAGAUAUUAGGAGGAAUACCAGUAGCGAAGGCGACUUUCUGGACACAAACUGACGCUGAGGUACGAAAGCGUGGGGAGCAAACAGG